rnacentral:rRNA from 1 species
UACGUAGGGGGCAAGCGCUGUCCGGAAUCAUUGGGCGUAAAGAGCGUGUAGGCGGUCCCGGUAAGUCGGCUGUGAAAGUCCAGGGCUCAACCCUGGGAUGCCCGGUCGAUACUGCCGGACUAGAGUUCGGAAGAGGCGAGUGGAAUUCCCGGUGUAGCGGUGAAAUGCGCAGAUAUCGGGAGGAACACCAGUGGCGAAGGCGGCUCUCUGGGCCUUCCUGACGCUGAGACGCGAAAGCGUGGGGAGCGAACCGG